rnacentral:rRNA from 1 species
CCUACGGGAGGCAGCAGUGAGGAAUAUUGGUCAAUGGACGAGAGUCUGAACCAGCCAAGCAGCGUGAAGGAUGACUGCCCUAUGGGUUGUAAACUUCUUUUAUAUGGGAAUAAAAUGUUCCACGUGUGGGAUUUUGUAUGUACCAUAUGAAUACGGAUCGGCUAACUCCGUGCCAGCAGCCGCGGUAAUACGGAGGAUCCGAGCGUUAUCCGGAUUUAUUGGGUUUAAAGGGAGCGUAGGUGGAUUGUUAAGUCAGUUGUGAAAGUUUGCGGCUCAACCGUGAAAUUGCAGUUGAAACUGGCAGGCUUGAGUACAGUAGAGGUGAGCGGAAUUCGUGGUGUAGCGGUGAAAUGCUUAGAUAUCACGAAGAACUCCGAUUGCGAAGGCAGCUCACUGGACUGCAACUGACACUGAGGCUCGAAAGUGUGGGUAUCAAACAGGAUUAGAUACCCUUGUAGUC